rfam:Felis catus isolate Cinnamon breed Abyssinian chromosome F2, whole genome shotgun sequence.
GCCCGGUUGGCUCAAUUGGUUAAGCGUCUGACUACAGCUCAGGUUUGUGGGUUCGAGCCCCGCGUCAGGCU